GUACCUGAGGCUCAAAGAACACACGAUAUCUACUGAUGUGACCUCCUUUUGCUCAGGGAACUCACCAUGAGCGUCUUGACUCAGGGUGGGCUUCAGCCUUGUGUAAAGCCUUGUGUCCAGGGCACUGCUGUCCCUGAGGCCAACUCCUGUCUUUGCAAAGAGCUUCAGCCAUCACUGGGCAUCAUGAAGGCCCUCUCCACAUUCAUCACCAGAUAAUAGCCUGAAGGAGAAAUGCGUGAAAUCACAUUUUUUAUAAGCAUCUAAAAGCAUUGCCUCCUGUUGACUUCAUCUGACACCAUCUGCACUUAGGGCUGAGAAGAUUUAGAGCAUUUGCAUUUGUUUUUAAAGGAAGGAGAAAAGAAAAUUUGCAGCUCUUGAAAAGGACAAGUUUGAUGCUGUGUUUCUGACCCCACUCUUACAGAACUCAGAAUUUGCUGUGGUCUUCUUCCUUUUUACAUGAAUGACAUUGCAAGGCGCUUGUUUGAUGUUUGUCUAAGCAUUUCAAGUAGGAUGGUUCUGCUCUACCGUGAUGACAGUGUUGUUUUGUAGAUAUUGUAAUUCCUCUCUGUUUUGGGUAACAUUUAACAGUCAUGAGAAAUAUUUUAGAAAUAAGAUAAGAUUUUAAAUAACUCAGGGUUUUCCCUUGCUACUUAGCAGGCUGCACUUCAUACGGCUUUUAAGGCAUAUGACAGGAGAAACUGCCACCAUUAAGAUUUUCCAAUUCCUUCUAAGUCUUGUCUUCUGCGUUUAAUAACUUGUCCCAAAUUUUCAUUUCUCAAGCUGAAAUUUCUCAAUCUUUGCUUCAUCCUGACAGUAGAUCCCUCUGGAAUGCUUAAAAAGAGAUGGCAGAGACAGACAGCCUUUACACAUACCCUUCCACCAGGAAAACAGCAACACCUGGAUGUGAGCAGAAGGGGCUGAGAGAUGUGGGGGAAUUGGACAGAAGAGAGGCGUUGGUUUUUUUUUUUUCCUUUCCAAAACAUGAGCAGGAGAAAACCUUCAGCCUGCUCUGCAUUCAAUCCCAAUCCACACACACUGCAGGUGCUUGAGAUGCAAUUAAUAACGUCAGACCCUUUUACAGUUUUAGAGAAGUUAUUUAUUGUUACUACUGUGUUGGCAUGGCACUUAUCACCGCAGCAAUAAAGCCUCUUGCUGGCAGUGCUGGAUCCAGCCUCACAACCUGCCUGCGAGGCGGGAAAGCUGUGGGGAUGGAAGCUGAGGCCCAGCAGGAUGAAGCGGUUAUGGCCGGCAGCUCGUGGCUGUGUGAAACGCAGGCCUCUGAGCACAGGGCAGCACUUUGCUGCACAAGUGAAUGUAAGUUUUCCAUACUCAAAUUUAAAUGCCCCUCUGCCAGUCAGGAAAAAAAUAUAUUCAAUAUUUUCUAGCCUGAUUUUGGAAGCAAAAACUGACCUUUUGUGGUGGGGUGUAUGCUAAUGUCAUAUGGAGGAGUGCAGCUGCACCACAGGAGCGGUACCCCAACAGGUGUGGGGUCUGUGCUUUCAGAGAGCAGGGAGCAAAGCCCUGCCCAAGCCCAACCCACCUGCAAGCAGCUCCAAUGCAACUUCAGCCUGACAGCAAUACCACGAUACCUGCUGGAACACCAGAUAAGAAACCCCUUUCUGAGAGCUGACAGCCCAGCUACUCUGCUUUGCCAGCUGCUAACUGCCAGCUGGAAACACACUCAGUGUCAUCCUUUUUUCCCCAGAGGAUUAAAACGUGUGGAGGAAGAAACUUUUCCUCCAUCUUCUCUCCUUGUAACACUGGGGAGUGCCUCCUGUCCCACCGGCGCUGGGCCUGGUGCAGGUCAGGUUUCCUGGCUGGUUCCCUUCCUCACCUUGCUCUCAGCACCUUAUGGUGCCAAACACAUGGAGACUCUAUGACAUCUAUGGUCCAUCCAGGCCUGAAAUACGCCAGGCAGAGCUGAGUGGUCAUGGUUGUCGGUACCAGACAGUCUUCAUGUCAGAGGUGAUAAAUAAAUAAAAGAUAGCUUUCACCAAGACAAAAAGCAAACACAGAGAGGCACUUGAAAUUAGUUUAUACACUGCCCAUCUUUGCAAAAUGUAUGAAAGGAAAUUAGGCUAAUUAAUAAGGGAAGACAGUAUGAAAGUCUGAAUUUUAACCUACCGUGCAGGAGGUGCCCAGCCAGCGGAUUGCCUGAAGGCAAGGGUGGAUGGGAAAGAAACACAAUUAGUCAUAAAGGAAAGGCUAUUUUCUAUAUUCCCUAUUUCUUUCCCUAGCCUGGGCAGGAUUCUGGUCAAGGUGGGGUUUUUGUCUGAGACAAGUGACAUUUUGUAUAUUAAACUUUCAGGGACUGUGCUGAGAAAUACACGAGCAUGACUCCAGUACCAGUAUGAAUGCUAAUUAUGUUCAAAAAUAAUUAGUUACUCGGUGAUAGACGUGGCAGAUUUAUUUAAAUUCCUGCCAGUCGAACACAAGUGCAGAGAUUGUAUUUGCCUGGGGUGGCUGCUCCUCUACACACGCUGGGACAAUACAGCUCACCCAUAUGGAGGUGAGCUCUCCCAUUAAUACCCUAUUAUGGCUUUGUACUACGGGUUACAUUAAUGUCCUUACUUAACAUUUCAGAAGCAUCAGUGAUAUUAAUAAACAUUAAGGACUAGCUCAGGAAUAAUUUACACAAAGUGCAGCGAAGUUCUGCUCUGGCAGCGCUUGUUGUUUUAAGACAUUUGUAAUGGGGUGACACUCUCCUCGUAAAACACCCGGACAAGAACAGGUCAUUUGUUUUGUGUCACUUUAGGCUCUGAAGCAAAAAAAUCUGCAUUAACUUCUGGCAGUGAGUCACACUGGGAGGCUGGCCACGACCUCGUGUCCACAGGGCUCAGGAGAGAGGUUUGCCUUCCUUUGUGUUCCUUGGGACAAGGCCAUGGAGGGGAGGAUGCUCUGCUAGGAAAGAUGAGGCCUUUGAGGGGAACCUUGCAAACUGAGAAAGUUUAGGAAGGAUGUCUAGGCUGAAAUUUAUAUUCUUGAAGUUAUUUUUAAUCACGUAGGAAAACAAGUCCCAUCAUGCAGGGGUAAGUUUGGGUGAAUAGUUUUUAGACUGAAGGUUAUUCACAGCUGAGUGGUUUGAUUCUCCAGUGCUAAUUAUUUCUGCCUUCAGUUGGAUCAUGAGAGUAAAAAGCUUUUUUUUUUUUCUUUCCAAAAUGGAUAAACAAUAUUGAAAAUCAGAGAACAACUUGUUGGUAGUAAAUGAUGAAGAAAGUUAAGUGCAUUAGAUCUGUAGAUGUUUUCUGUGAAUUUCCUCAAAUACCUUCCCCUUUUCCCAAAUGACACACAACACAAUCUGUGCAUGCACGACAAACCAAAGUCAACAUUUAUCUGUAGGAAAACACCUGCAAAUCAGGAUCAUCAGUUUGUUCAGCAUGAAAAGUACCUUAGCCCUUAUCCUACAAAUAAUAAAAUCAAAUCAUUUACUCCCACAGCUGAUCGUUCAGACACCUUAUGAAGUAAAACCACUUUGAGUUAGGAAAGCAUUGCAGAGUGUACAUAAAUGCAAGGGCCUCGGUCUUGUCACAGCAAAGUCAAUGGCAAAGUGCCCAUUGAGUUAAAACCCGAAGAAAACAGCCACCGGAGCAACGAGCUGUAAUCUGCCUUAAUCCAUAGUAUCAGCUGUUGACAGAUACAUACAGAGUGCUAAAAAAUGUUAGCAAAGCAGUAGGGACUGAGAGACAGCUCUGAAACUUUCCUUAUCACGUUUCUAAAUUCACCAGAGGUACCAUCCUUACGACGUAUGACAAAACAUAUGUUUUCUCUCCAAACUCGCUGGCAGAUCUAACCAAAAGUGUCAUCAGACUAUUGGAAACUGACUAGUGGAGAUGAAGCUCCUGUUCUGCUCUUCCUUGUUCCUUCUCAGAGAUGAAAAGAAAAGCCCCGCUGGGAUCUGCCCACCUCAUAUGUUCUGCAGACCCAAGAAAUUAAAGGAGAAUUGGGGGCUGAACAACACAUUUCCUGCAUUUUGGGACAGCUGUUCUUUUCGCUAAAACCAGCAGCCUCAGAUAAUGCUGU
ensembl:lncRNA